GGGUGCGAUCAUACCAGCACUAAUGCACCGGAUCCCAUCAGAACUCUGCAGUUAAGCGUGCUUGGACCAGAGUAGUACUAGGAUGGGCGACCUCCUGAGAAGUCCUCGUGUUGCACCCC
rfam:Gossypium raimondii scaffold_925_contig_1, whole genome shotgun sequence.